rnacentral:rRNA from 1 species
ACGGGUGAGUAAUGCCUAGGAAUCUGCCUGGUAGUGGGGGAUAACGUUCGGAAACGGACGCUAAUACCGCAUACGUCCUACGGGAGAAAGCAGGGGACCUUCGGGCCUUGCGCUAUCAGAUGAGCCUAGGUCGGAUUAGCUAGUUGGUGAGGUAAUGGCUCACCAAGGCGACGAUCCGUAACUGGUCUGAGAGGAUGAUCAGUCACACUGGAACUGAGACACGGUCCAGACUCCUACGGGAGGCAGCAGUGGGGAAUAUUGGACAAUGGGCGAAAGCCUGAUCCAGCCAUGCCGCGUGUGUGAAGAAGGUCUUCGGAUUGUAAAGCACUUUAAGUUGGGAGGAAGGGCAUUAACCUAAUACGUUAGUGUUUUGACGUUACCGACAGAAUAAGCACCGGCUAACUCUGUGCCAGCAGCCGCGGUAAUACAGAGGGUGCAAGCGUUAAUCGGAAUUACUGGGCGUAAAGCGCACGUAGGUGGUUUGUUAAGUUGGAUGUGAAAUCCCCGGGCUCAACCUGGGAACUGCAUUCAAAACUGACUGACUAGAGUAUGGUAGAGGGUGGUGGAAUUUCCUGUGUAGCGGU